AACGAACGCUGGCGGCAUGCCUAACACAUGCAAGUCGAACGAUCCCUUCGGGGAUAGUGGCGCACGGGUGCGUAACGCGUGGGAACCUGCCCUUAGGUUCGGAAUAACUCAGAGAAAUUUGAGCUAAUACCGGAUAAUGUCUUCGGACCAAAGAUUUAUCGCCUUUGGAUGGGCCCGCGUUGGAUUAGCUAGUUGGUGGGGUAAAGGCCUACCAAGGCGACGAUCCAUAGCUGGUCUGAGAGGAUGAUCAGCCACACUGGGACUGAGACACGGCCCAGACCCCGCGGGGAGGCAGCAGGAGGAAAAAUUGAAGAGGGGGCAAAGGCCUAAUCCGGCAAUGCGGGGGGAUUGUAAAAGCCUUAGGGUUUGAAACCCUUUUUCCCCAGGGAUGAAAAGGAGGGGCCGGGGAAAAAAGGCCCGGGCAACCCCCGGC
rnacentral:rRNA from 1 species